AACGUAGGUCCCGAGCGUUAUCCGGAUUUACUGGGCGUAAAGCGUGUUCAGGCGGUCUAGCAAGUCGGGCAUGAAAUCUCUCGGCUCAACCGGGAGGGGUUGUCCGAUACUGCUGGGCUUGAGGGCAGCAGAGGGUGGUGGAAUUCCGGGUGUAGUGGUGAAAUGCGUAGAUAUCAGGAGGAACACCAAUGGCGAAGGCAGCUCACUGGGACGAUACUGACGCUGAGACGCGAAAGCGUGGGGAGCAAACAGG
rnacentral:rRNA from 1 species